GAUGAACGCUGGCGGCGUGCCUAAUACAUGCAAGUCGAGCGAACGGACGAGAAGCUUGCUUCUCUGAUGUUAGCGGCGGACGGGUGAGUAACACGUGGAUAACCUACCUAUAAGACUGGGAUAACUUCGGGAAACCGUAGCUAAUACCGGAUAAUAUUUUGAACCGCGUGGUUCAAAAGUGAAAGACGGUCUUGCUGUCACUUAUAGAUGGAUCCGCGCUGCAUUAGCUAGUUGGUAAGGUAACGGCUUACCAAGGCAACGAUGCAUAGCCGACCUGAGAGGGUGAUCGGCCACACUGGAACUGAGACACGGUCCAGACUCCUACGGGAGGCAGCAGUAGGGAAUCUUCCGCAAUGGGCGAAAGCCUGACGGAGCAACGCCGCGUGAGUGAUGAAGGUCUUCGGAUCGUAAAACUCUGUUAUUAGGGAAGAACAUAUGUGUAAGUAACUGUGCACAUCUUGACGGUACCUAAUCAGAAAGCCACGGCUAACUACGUG
rnacentral:rRNA from 1 species